GUGACCCCAGGUCAGGC
rnacentral:rRNA from 2 species